GCAUCAGAUACAAGAUGGCGGCCAGCAGGAGGCUUAUGAAGGAGCUUGAAGAAAUCCACAAAUGUGGAAUGAAAAACCGUAACAUCCAGGUUGAUGAAGCUAAUUUAUUGACUUGGCAAGGGCUUAUUGUUCCUGACAACCCUCCAUAUGAUAAGGGGCCUUCAGAAUCGAAAUCAACUUUCCAGCAGAGUACCCAUUCAAACCACUGAAGAUCACAUUUAAAACAAAGAUCUAUCACCCGAAUAUCAAUGAGGGGCAGUUCUGUCUGCCAGUAAUUAGUGCUGAAAACUGGAAGCCAGCAACCAAAACCGACCAAGUAAUCCAGUCCCUCAUAGCACUGGUGAACGACCCCCAGCCCGAGCACCCACUUCGGGCUGACCUAGCUGAAGAAUACUCUAAGGACCGUAAAAAAUUUCUGUAAGAACGCUGAAGAGUUUACAAGGAAAUACGGGGAGAAGCGACCUGUGGACUAAACUCUGCCGCGACCAAUCCCAGCGAGUGUGAGCAGAGACCCCGAGCAACGCACUCAGACACCCCGAAAAGCAGGACUCUGUGGAAAAUUGACACGUGCCACCGCCUGGCGUUUGCUUGUGGCAGUUACUAACUUUGUACAGUUUUCUUAAUCAAAAGUGGUCUAGGUAAUCUGUUAAGAAAGGAUUAAAAAUUUAAGAUGUUUAAAAAAAA